GACGAACGCUGGCGGCGUGCCUAAUACAUGCAAGUAGAACGCACAGGAUGCACCGUAGUUUACUACACCGUAUUCUGUGAGUUGCGAACGGGUGAGUAACGCGUAGGUAACCUGCCUGGUAGCGGGGGAUAACUAUUGGAAACGAUAGCUAAUACCGCAUAAGAACAUUUACUGCAUGGUAGAUGUUUAAAAGGUGCAAAUGCAUCACUACCAGAUGGACCUGCGUUGUAUUAGCUAGUAGGUGAGGUAACGGCUCACCUAGGCGACGAUACAUAGCCGACCUGAGAGGGUGAUCGGCCACACUGGGACUGAGACACGGCCCAGACUCCUACGGGAGGCAGCAGUAGGGAAUCUUCGGCAAUGGGGGGAACCCUGACCGAGCAACGCCGCGUGAGUGAAGAAGGUUUUCGGAUCGUAAAGCUCUGUUGUUAAGGAAGAACGAGUGUGAGAAUGGAAAGUUCAUACUGUGACGGUACUUAACCAGAAA
rnacentral:rRNA from 1 species